GUCCAGACUCCUACGGGAGGCAGCAGUGGGGAAUAUUGCACAAUGGGGGAAACCCUGAUGCAGCGACGCCGCGUGAAGGAAGAAGUAUUUCGGUAUGUAAACUUCUAUCAGCAGGGAAGAAAAUGACGGUACCUGACUAAGAAGCCCCGGCUAACUACGUGCCAGCAGCCGCGGUAAUACGUAGGGGGCAAGCGUUAUCCGGAUUUACUGGGUGUAAAGGGAGCGUAGGCGGCAGUGCAAGUCAGAAGUGAAAGCCCAAGGCUCAACCAUGGGACUGCUUUUGAAACUGUACAGCUAGAUUGUAGGAGAGGUAAGUGGAAUUCCUAGUGUAGCGGUGAAAUGCGUAGAUAUUAGGAGGAACACCAGUGGCGAAGGCGGCUUACUGGACUGUAAAUGACGCUGAGGCUCGAAAGCGUGGGGAGCAAACAGGAUUAGAUACCCUUGUAU
rnacentral:rRNA from 1 species